GAUGAACGCUGGCGGCGUGCCUAAUACAUGCAAGUCGAGCGAACAGACGAGGAGCUUGCUCCUCUGACGUUAGCGGCGGACGGGUGAGUAACACGUGGAUAACCUACCUAUAAUACUGGGAUAACUUCGGGAAACCGGAGCUAAUACCGGAUAAUAUAUUGAACCGCAUGGUUCAAUAGUGAAAGACGGUUUUGCUGUCACUUAUAGAUGGAUCCACGCCGCAUUAUCUAGUUGGUAAGUUAACGGCUUACCAAGGCAACGAUGCGUAGCCGACCUGAGAGGGUGAUCGGCCACACUGGAACUGGGACACGGUCCAGACUCCUACGGGAGGCAGCAGUAGGGAAUCUUCCGCAAUGGGCGAAAGCCUGAUGGAGCAAGCCCGCGUGAGUGUUGAAGGUCUUCGGAUCGUAAAACUCUGUUAUUAGGGAAGAACAAAUGUGUAAGUAGCUAUGCACGUCUUGACGGUACCUAAUCAGGAAGCCACGGCUAACUACGUG
rnacentral:rRNA from 1 species